rnacentral:rRNA from 1 species
AGAGUUUGAUCCUGGCUCAGGAUGAACGCUAGCGGCAGGCUUAACACAUGCAAGUCGAGGGGCAGCGGGGAGGAAGCUUGCUUUCUCCGCCGGCGACCGGCGCACGGGUGAGUAACACGUAUGCAACCUGCCCCUGUCAGGGGGACAACCCGCCGAAAGGCGGGCUAAACCCGCGUACAUGCCACCGGGGCAUCCCGGAGGCAGGAAAGGCUUCGGCCGGACAGGGAUGGGCAUGCGGCGCAUUAGGCAGUAGGCGGGGUAACGGCCCACCUAACCGACGAUGCGUAGGGGUUCUGAGAGGAAGGUCCCCCACACUGGUACUGAGACACGGACCACACUCCUACGGGAGGCAGCAGUGAGGAAUAUUGGUCAAUGGUCGGGAGACUGAACCAGCCAAGCCGCGUGAGGGAGGAAGGUACAGAGUAUCGUACACCUCUUUUGUCCGGGAACAAAGACGGGGACGCGUCCCCCAGAUGAGUGUACCUGAAGAAAAAGCAUCGGCUAACUCCGUGCCAGCAGCCGCGGUAAUACGGAGGAUGCGAGCGUUAUCCGGAUUUAUUGGGUUUAAAGGGUGCGCAGGCGGUCUGUUAAGUCAGCGGUCAAAGCCCGGGGCUCAACCCCGGCCCGCCGUUGAAACUGGCAGUCUCGAGUUGGAGAGAAGUAUGCGGAAUGCGCGGUGUAGCGGUGAAAUGCAUAGAUAUCGCGCAGAACUCCGAUUGCGAAGGCAGCAUGCCGGCUCCACACUGACGCUGAGGCACGAAAGCGUGGGUAUCGAACUGGCUUAGUUACCCUGGUAGUCCACGCAGUAAACGAUGAAUGCUGGCUGUCCGGGGGGACUGACCCCUGGGUGGCGAAGCGAAAGCGAUAAGCAUUCCACCUGGGGAGUACGCCGGCAACGGUGAAACUCAAAGGAAUUGACGGGGGCCCGCACAAGCGGAGGAACAUGUGGUUUAAUUCGAUGAUACGCGAGGAACCUUACCCGGGCUCAAACGGGGAGUGGCGCAGGCAGAGACGCCUGUUUCCCACGGGACACUCCCCGAGGUGCUGCAUGGUUGUCGUCAGCUCGUGCCGUGAGGUGUCGGCUUAAGUGCCAUAACGAGCGCAACCCCCGCGUGCAGUUGCUAACAGUCAACGCUGAGGACUCUGCACGGACUGCCGGCGCAAGCCGCGAGGAAGGCGGGGAUGACGUCAAAUCAGCACGGCCCUUACGUCCGGGGCGACACACGUGUUACAAUGGGUGGUACAGCGGGAAGCCAGGCGGCGACGCCGAGCGGAACCCGAAAUCCACUCUCAGUUCGGAUCGGAGUCUGCAACCCGACUCCGUGAAGCUGGAUUCGCUAGUAAUCGCGCAUCAGCCAUGGCGCGGUGAAUACGUUCCCGGGCCUUGCACACACCGCCCGUCA